rnacentral:rRNA from 1 species
GGUUUGAUUGCGGCUCGACGAACGCUGGCGGAUGCUUUACACAUGCAAGUCGAACGGCACGGAUCGGUCUGGAAAAAGAGUGGCGAACGGGUGAGUGGUGUAUCUGAACGUGUUUGCGGUAGGAUAAUCACGCGAAAGCGUAGCUAAUACCGCAUACGUUCUUCGGGUGGUGCGGGAUUUUCGGCUCGCACAUAGAGCGGUUGAUAUCGGAUUAGUUAGCCAGGGCACGGUACUACCAGGAGAUGAUUCGUGGAAGCUGGUUUGGAGGAGGACGACUCGGCAGCUACAUUUUGACUGAGACAUUGCCCAGAUUUCAUGAGGCGGUGGGGACUUUGGAUUAGCUGGGGAAAAUUCCUGAUUCAGCCAUUCGGGCGUGCGUGAUGUAAAGGCCUUCGGUUGUAAAAGUACUUUUUGGCAGAGAAUGUAUACGACACAUUUCGCAAAUUCGGAUGGUGCUUGCAGAAUAGCAUCAAGCAAUUAUUACGUGCCACAGCAGCCGCAACAUGUAGCAGCAUCGAAUGAUAAGCGGCGUGCAGGCGGUUUUGGAAAGCAGUGAUGUGAAACUCCAGAGCUAACUUUGAAUCGCAUUUUAAUUACCGAGUUAGAGUGUGUCGAGGUGGAGGUGGAAUUCGCGUAGCAGUGAAAUGCGUAGAUAUGCGGAGGAACACCGAUGGCGAAGGCAGCCCCGAGAUAACACUGACGCUCAUACACAAAGCGUGGGAGCAAACAGGAUUAGAUACCCCGGUAGUCCACGCUUCAAACGAUGUCAACUAGCUGUUGGGGCUCUCUGCCUUUGCAGGGCGCAAAGUAUCGCGUGAAGUUGACUGCCCGGGGAGUACGGUCGCAAGAUUAGAACUCAAAGGACCGAUGGACCCGCACAAGCGGUGGAUGAUGUGGAUUAAUCCGAUGAUGCGAAAAUUCCACGACCCUUGACAUGUCUGAACCCGGAAGAGAUUUGGGAGUGCUCGCAAGAGAACUGAACACAGAGCGACGGUCGCCGCCCGUGUCGAGAUGCCGGGUUAAGUCCCGCAACGAGCGCAACCCCGUCAUUAGUUGGUUACGAAAGGCACCUAAUGACUGCCGGUGACAAACCGGAGGAAGGUAGAUGACGUCAAGUCCUCUUGCGGUUCUCUUAUGGUAGGGAGCCACACGUCAUACACUUCUAUGGGGGCAGAGGUCGCCAACCCGAGGGGGAGCCAAUCCCAGAAACCCGAUCGUAGUCCUGAUCGCAGUCUGCAACCUCGGACUGCGUGAAGCCUGGAAUCGGCAGUAAUCGCGGAUCAGCAUGUCGCGGUGAAUACGUUCCCGGUCUUGUACACACCGCUCGUCACACCAUGGAGUGGGUUUUUACCAGCAGUUAGCCUAACCGUAAGGAGGGCGAUUACCACGGUAGAUUCGCGACUGGGUGAAGUCGGCCAAAGGUGGUGCCUGUUACUACC